rnacentral:sRNA from 1 species
GAAAGAAAGGAAAAACUAGAACAAACGCUGGAUAAGAGAAUUUCAAGAAAAAUUGUGGAAAUUUCAAGGAAUCAAGCAAGAUAAGGUGGUGAGCUAUUUGAUAAGGAUAAAAAGAUUACACCAAAGACCGGGACUAGGAGUAUUUCUACUCCUGAUACUGGGGCGGGUUUUCUGUGGACCAGCCUAUUAGAGGGG